CAGAAACAUACAUGCUCGAAAGUCACACUGAAAAUAAAAAGUUUCAGAUCUCUUUUUAGAAAGUCUCGGAAAGGCUUAGUUUUUUGUCAUUGCGUAAUAAGUAAUGCUGUGGAGUUUCAUAUGGGAUAGAAAAGAUGUAUCAAAGAGACCGUCCCUCGUCAAAUGCGCGAGAGAGUGUCAACGAGAACGAGGCAGAAAGAAUCAGGCGUGGGCAAGACCUCUGAGAGGCUCAAACAAAGGGUGGAUCGACCGCUCUGCAGAUAUUUUUAAGAAUCUCAUCUAAGAUGUCCAAAGAAAACCCCAGCUAUCAUACCCAGUUAUGUUUAUGCAUUUGGUAGAGGCUUUUAUACAAAGCAUUGUACUGCAGGUACACAUUAUGUUUGUUCAUGAAUUCCCUGGGAAUCAAACCCAUGACCUUG
ensembl:lncRNA